GGGAGAUUUUUGAGGCCGGCGGUUUGCCUUGCACCCCUUCUGCGCGCGCGCACGCACGCACACACACACAGGCACACGCGCGCGCAAACACACACACACACACACACACACAUGCACACCCCGCCCCCAAAAUUCCGGUUUUCGGCCGCGGGUGGGUGGGGAGAGGUGGAAGCAAAGGCUGUGCAGACAAUGGAGAGAGGAAAAGUGAGUGCCAGGGCUCAGCGUCUACCUAGCCCGGGGCUGCCGGGAGCCGCGAAGGGGACUCGACGGCCCCAGCCCCGGGGCGGGGCCGCCCCCGCCUCCAGCUGUGCUCUGGGGCCGUUUUGAGGCUCUCCUCUGAUUCCCCUUUCCUCCUUUCCUCGCUUCCCCCGUCUCGAUUUUUUUCCCCCUGAACUUUCUUCUCUCUCUCGGUCUCUCCGGCUCCUGCCCACUGCCCCCACCCUUCACUCCCCCUCAGUGGACCUGAAGGAACCAGUGACUUUUUCCUUCACCAAGUGGGAGUUAUCCACAUCAAGCAUUUCACAACGACACAUCAAGAAAAGUAGGCAGGUUCAAGUCAACCAUGAAAUGGUCACUUUUUAACCCCGUCCUGUCCUCAUUAGGGAAAUGCUCAAACACAGUCCGUUUUCAAAGAGCGCUCUUAAUGAGGCGAGCUUGCCAAGUCUACCAGCUGCAGCCCCCGUAAACCAAGAGCCCAAAGAAGAAAGGCGCUGGGGAAGGAGGGGGGCGGGGAGUUGAGGAGGCCAGGGGCUGGAGGGGGAGCGUUGGAUCUGGGAAGACAGGUAAAGUCGGGGAAAUUUAGAGAACCCUCCCGAGUUAACCCUUUGCGGCACGCAUCGCCGCGAGCGGCCUCCCCGCUCCCCCGGAGGCAAAUCCUCUAGUCAGCGUUCUGACAACGUUAAUUUCCUUUGUGUGGGUCAUUUCUUCUUUUUGAAAAGCCAGGAUAAAGUUGACAGUCUUUAUAGAUGAAAGAAAUGAGGUGACAGUCCGGGUUAAUCCAAAUAAAUACUCAUUUCUCUCUCAGAAAUUCUGAGGCGAUCUCAUCCUAGAUUAAAAAAAAAAAUCCCCAAAGCAUCACUUUGUUUUGCACAUUAUGCUGCAUCCCUUUUCCCACCCUCAUACCAGAGUCUGUGGGGAGGGGGGCGGGGAAGCGCUACUGAUAAUACCAGCUUUAACUACUGGAGUUUCCCUUUGAACAAAUAUUCAAUUUAACCGGAGUUAAUUUACCAUAAAAGACAUUCCCCUUGGCACGAAUGCACUCCUGUCCUUGAACACACCUCUUUGAAUGCCUGGACUCUUACAGAAGCCAUUAUUUCGGGGUCUCUUUAAAAAUCAAGCGCCCAUCUCUCUUUCUCUCCCUCCCUCCCUUCUUCCCUCCCUCCUCACCACACCACCCCCAGUGAAAUCCUGGCACCCAGAGAGCGCUCCUUUCAGCCAGAGAUCCCAGAACCAGCCGCUGUCCCCUGGCAAAAGAGGCCCAGAGCUGAGCAAGUGUGUGCAGACAUUGCUACCCCUCCUCUUUUAUUGGUUUCCCUUACCAACAGAAACACGGUAUCCCGUUUGCCACCAAAACUAGGUUGUAUCCAAAAGUUUUUCACAAGCUUAAAAGAGAAAAAAGAAAAUUUGACAACUCUCACACAGAAGAGCCCACCAAAGCCGCAGCAGCGCCAGGGGUGAAGAAACAGCGACAGACCCAGCUCUUGCAUGUGAUUUGAGGGGAGGCUCAACAAUUCCACACACCCUGGCAGCAGGGCCAAUAUCAAUAUUUUAAAAAGAAAUACAAAAGAGACAGGUGACCUCCUGACCCCAGGAAACAGGCCUGCAAAACUGCAAGUAUCCACUACACCAUGCCCAGGGACAUUUUCUUCUUCCAAAUGAACCACAAUAAUCAUACAUGUGUAGCCUGGAAAACCCAAUUUUAUAUCCACAAGCAAGAACAUCAAAAGUCUACUCAAAAGCAUAUAUAUAAACAACCAACAAGUACUGAAAUUGCCUGCACUUGAUGGGAAUUGCAAAAUCAUGCCCAGCUCUCUCAGCCCUUAAACUACUACUGUCAAAUUAGGGUAGCAAUUUUUCCCUACUAGAAAAUUCACAACCGGUUAGCUUCCCCACCCCCCAUUGCCAGCGCUUCGCCUUUCACUGAAAUGAAUAAAUAACCGUGGACUUUUUUUUUCCAUCCUCUGGGAGCUGUUUGGUGUCCCCUGAGGACGAAACUAAAUGAGAAAAAUGACGCUGUUAAUAAUGUCGCUGCUGAAAUGCCUGUACUCGACUGUUUAUAAAAAAUACCAACCCACUAAAUGUGCCUACAUUUCGGGCACAUUUACAAGCCACCACUGAAUCUGAACACGGACUGGCCAGAUUCCUCCAUUAAGGUUAGCUGGUUUCCACUUCUCUACAGAAAGGAGGCCAGUUCAUCAACAGAGAUCCCCAACUCCUGAAGACAUUUGCUUUCUGGGAUUACAAAGUCAGCAGUUGCCCUGUAAUUUUUGCAUGAUUUAUUUUAAACUUUGAAAAUCACGGUAAUAGUUGCCUUGUUUCACUCACAGUUCUUCAAAAGUUACGUACACUUUUUCACACACAGUCUUCUUUGCUGAUCCUGAGAGAGUUGUAGCUAUUGUCCUCUUUCAAAAUAGCUGAACUUUAAUGUAAAACUAUGCUAUCAUUUUAUUUCUAAAAUGUAAAUCGGCUUUUGUCACCCAGUUACAUGUGCCUUUGGGACAGGAAAAUGGAUCGGUUUUAAAGAGCUGUUUAGAAAGCUUCACCAUCCAAAAUGCCCAAGUAAUCUUUAUAUUCUGUAUUAAAAAGUGUAGAAAGGGCAUUGCAAACCGACUCAAACUUUCUGCACCCCUUUCUUUACUUCUUUCCUUGAAAACUGCCAUUCUGCUUUAAAAUUAAAACAAUGCAUAACCACGGGACUGUGCAUUUUAACAUACAAAGUAAAAUUUAGCAAACAGUUGCACAAUGACGAAGACAGAAGACAAACACUUGGGCCUAUACAAAAUAUAUAUUCAAGUAAACUUUAUCUGAAAUAUUUUUACAACACACAGUAAGUUAAUAAACUCCAAAGCAAUAAUAUCGCCAAAUUGUGUGAUGUCAUAGGCUCCAAAAGCAACGUUACAGAUGUUCGUGACAUCACAUUUACUCAUAAUUAUGCUGCUGCUCAGUCUGACCAUCUUGAAAUUAAAUGGAUGCCUAUGUCUGCUAAAGAAUAAAAGGAAUUUAUUUUGGACAUCAAA